GCGAAGCAAUGAUGUAGGGUGAAAAGUACGCGUCUCUGUUUAUUAUGGUGCUGAAUUUUGACUUGUAAACAAGUAAAGAAAUUCCUUUUGAGAGAAAAAUUAUGAAACAGAACAGUUGAAAAAUGGAUUUCAUGGACAUACUGUUCAAUAAAAACAGGCCAUUUGAGCCUGCGAAAAUUUCGGGUGGAACAACAAAUGGACGCGUUGCUGCUGAACGCGGGCGCACAGUUGCAAAGAUCUUAGAAACAAGCGACAGAGAAAUGAUUGAAGAUGAUUUAGCUAUGAUUCGACAAAAGUUACACGACAACAUCAAAACAUCGAUGAAAACAUUUGAUUGUCACGACGAUGGUCACGACGAUGACAUCUAUAAAAAGUACAACUUCAAUCGUAGAUCACAAUUGAGUACCCAAUUGCCAAUUUAUGGAUGUAAAGAGAAGAUAAUGUCUAAAAUAAGGCAAUACCCGAGCGUUGUCAUAGAAGGAUCCACCGGGUGUGGAAAAAGUACACAGAUUCCUCAGAUGAUACUCGACGAUGCAAGGGAGCAUGGAAAGGCGUGCAAUAUAAUUGUUACACAACCAAGACGCAUUGCAGCUAAAAGCAUCGCUGACCGGGUCGUCCGUGAACGUGGUUGGGACCUAGGCACUGUCGUUGGGUAUCAGAUAGGCCUGGACAAACGAUUUGUUUCCGAAGACACUCGAAUUACAUUCGUUACAACCGGCAUUCUAUUGGAGAAAUUGAUUCAUUCAAAGAGUUUGACUCAAUUUUCGCAUAUUGUGUUAGAUGAAGUGCACGAACGAAACAAGGAAAUGGAUUUUCUUUUCGUCAUUCUACGAAUUUUAUGGUCUCAAAGCAUUAAUAUUAAGGUCAUCCUGAUGAGUGCUACCAUUGACACCGUAAAAUUUGCCGAAUACUUCAGAUUUUUUCAGUUCGAUCAUUGGGUUCCAGCACCAAUUGUGAAAGUUGACCAGAAAAGUUUGUACACGGUGAAAGAGUUCUACCUUGAUGAUAUCAAAGGCUUACCGGUACCUGAAAUCCAUUGGAAACAACCGGGCAUUACAGACGAAAUGUACAAGCUAGCAUUAUUGUUGAUCACAAACAUCAAGGGCAUCGAUCGUGAAACCGACACCGGACUGUCGUCCAUUUUGAUUUUUCUGCCCGGCAUUUACGAAAUUGGCCGUUUCCGCACUAAACUAAUGGAAUAUGCGCAAUCGAAAUGUGAUUUAAAGUGGCGAAUUUUCAUUUUACAUUCAUUGAUCAGCACUGAAGAACAACAAUUAAUCUUUGAGCCCGUUGAAAAUAAUGUGCGCAAAAUUAUUCUAAGUACUAACAUUGCAGAGAGCUCUAUCACAGUACCAGAUGUUAAAUAUGUUAUCGAUUUCUGCCUGAUGAAAUAUCUCAAGAGUGAUACAACGAAAAAUUUUACAUCAUUGGAAAUGGAUUGGGCAGCUAAAAACAAUUGCAAGCAGCGAGCUGGACGCGCGGGCCGAGUGGCAAACGGACGAUGCUACCGCCUGGUGAAAAGACGAUUUUUCGAAUGCUACAUGGCUGAAUCUGCAACUCCCGAAAUACUUUUGACACCGCUUGAAAAUGUCAUUCUCAAAGCAAAGACAUUCGAAAUGGAAGCACCGUACACGUUGCUUGGUUUAGCUAUGGAUGCACCCGAUAUGGACGAUAUCGCAAACACUGUUCUAACUUUGAAGGAGCUUGGUGCAUUACACUUGACAGUGCAAAAUAGUUACAGUGCAAUGGAUGGCGAUAUGACAUUCCUUGGCCACAUAAUGUCCAACCUUCCAAUUGAUGUGCGCGCUACACGUCUCAUUGCGCUGGGAUAUUGUUUUGGUGUGCUCGAAGAAUGCAUCAUAAUGGCUGCUGGCCUAACGACCAAAAGCAUUUUCAAAAUCACAUUUGAACGAGAUCUAAGCGAAUACUCGCGACGAUUGGAAUGGUCAAAUGGUUCUGGAAGCGAUCUAUUUGCCAUUCUAAAUGCAUACAAAAUCUGGAAUCUCAAAUACAAUCAGAAAGAUUUUGGACGAAACAAGGAAGAAGAAAAAAAAUUUUGUAAUCGGCAUUAUUUGGAUUUACGUUCGCUGAACGAGUGUCACCAACUGGUUUUAGAGUUAACUCAACGGCUUGAGAAGCUUGGCAUACGCCAGGCGACUGGUGUUGAUAGAAUUCGAUGGACAGAGCAAGAGAAAGGCAUCAUACUGAAAGUGGUCUGUAGCGGUGCAUUUUAUCCACAUUUUUUUGCAACUCCACCAAUAAACAAUCCCAUGGUGGAACGAGACGCGUUUCACUCACUCAAUGGCCGUGAUCCAGAUAACACUGUCUUCUUCACUGGAUUUCGACAAGAGAACAUUCGUCCACUAUACUCAUUUUUUGUCCGAGCGCUUUUCCAAAACACAGUUGUAGCAGCAGAUAAUAUCAAUAGUGUCAAGGUCUCAUUCGACGCCAAUUCCGAAAAGGUUUUCAUCACGUUCGAGGGCGUUUCACAGGGCGUUUGCAGUGACAAUCAAAAUGAUUGGGACACAAAGCUUUGUUCAAUCCCGGGUAAAACCCUAACUGAAGUCUACAAAGCGGUGAAGAUGCGCAAAAUGAACAUGCCUACACGCAUUCCACUCAUGAAACCAGACAGAGAGAAGCAAGUUGCUGAAAAGAUGGGUUUGGGAUUCAUGGAAACCGACUCUUUUAUCUUUAAAGGAAGUUGUUGUGGUGAAAUUCGUAACAUAUGUAUUCCCAAAACUACGGAAAAAGAAGUAAUGGGAACCGUAACUCAUGUCGAAAAUUGUUCAACAUUUUGGUUCCAACCGAUUGAUGAAAGACAACGAAUUGAAUAUUACAAUCAAGAAUUGAACAAUGACUUUCACAGUAUCCUUGCACAACCGAAAUCAUUGCACACCCUUAGUAAAACCGAAAUCAUUGUUGCUCGCGAUCACGCCGAUGGUAAACUUUAUCGUGCUCAGUUGACCUCUUCCGAAGGCACUGUGUAUUUCCUCGACUCAGGUCGUAGGCAAAAGUGUCAAUUGGAUGAUAUCUAUGUGUUCACGCGGCAAACAGAGCAGGCAACGAUGCCACCACGGUGUUUCCAGUGCCGUUUGUCUGAAAUUAGUCCAUCGACGGCCAAUUUAUCAGGCGGAAAUAUGUGGGAUCAUGAAGCGAUUAAAGUAUUCAAAAGUUUCGUCAUCGAUCGUGAAGUGAAGGCUGAGAUAUACUCGGUUGUAAAUGGAACGGCAAACGUUUUCAUCUUUGCAAAUGGUACAAAUUUAAACAACAUUCUCAUCGAUCGUUAUGGUUAUGGGGAAUUUAGUGAAGAGAACUUUUUAUCGAAAAAUAAUCACUGGAAACGUCAGCAUCUGCAAAAUUUAAUUGCAGUGGAAGGGCAAACUGAAGACACCUUGAACUUUGCAGACUGUGAUGAAUAUUAUCCCAUCGCUAAUUGCUCGCCAAUUAUGCCAUUGGAAGAUCGGUACUAUGAUCGAGCGGUACAAUUGAAGGGUCCCAAAAGCCCUCUCGAAUCUGCAGUUCACUCGGUUUUAUUGCACAAUGGCAAGAGAUCGGUUAACAUAGAUGCUCACUCCGUCAAUAGUGUCUUAUUGACUUCAUUGCAACAGGACUUAUCGAUCAAGUAUAUGGUUGCUGCGCAUAUGAGUCAACAGGGUGGCAGCAAUAAGGAACUCGUUAUACAUCAAACCACUUUAUUACCAAGCAUACGUGGAUUUGGCCCCCUGAUGGCGAUGGUGUUCUGCAAACAAAUGGCUUUCACACAAACGUAUUCCAAAUGGUCAGCACCGGCAAUUUUAAUCUCUUCACUGGCAAACUUUUCGUUUUUGGUUGCAAUUAGUACACCGCCGCCACGUUGAAAAAAUAUGCCAACCAAAUUUUAUUAUGCUUUUGUUCCAUUUUACAAAAUCAAAAAUAGGAACUGUUUUCGAAAUCAUAUUCACACAUAUAUUGGACGCACUUUUUAAAAUGAUUAUUUUUUUGUUAUUAUUGGAAGGUUGUUGACCAAAAAAAGACUUGCAAAGGAAAUUCAUUCGGUUUCACAUGAAUGGCAGCAAUAUGAACAUUCAGAUUUCAAAGCAGCAGAUAAUGACGUGUACGGUUCCGCCGCAAUUUUUCCUUUACAUGGUUUACCACGCAUUCGCGAUAACAUGGAUAACAACAUGAAGAAGCGAUUGAGGUUGCAUUGUUCAGAGCUACGUCAAAUGACGAUGUUCUUACCGAGGCCGGUCGCAUGCAAGCUUUGCGCAACGGAAAUUGAUACAACUGAAAUCUUACGCACACACCUUCUGACCCGCUUGCAUCGAGAUCGAGAAAAAGAAAUCGGUUUUGACAACUGAUCAACAAAGAAAAACAUCACGAUCUGCAAACAUUUUUUUAUUCAAUACUUUUCAUAUGGCAAGAGUAAAAUAGUAUUUUGCAGAAAAAAAUUCAAUGAGAUCAUUUAUCAAAAUAUUUUCUAAAAUCAUCAGUGACUGACAACUGGCAAUGAAUAUUGAAUACAUCACUUAUGUUUAAGAAUAUCCGACGCAAGUCUGGUUGGUGAAUAAAUAAAUGAAUACGAUAUAAA